rnacentral:rRNA from 1 species
UACGGGAGGCAGCAGUGGGGAAUAUUGCACAAUGGGCGCAAGCCUGAUGCAGCCAUGCCGCGUGUAUGAAGAAGGCCUUCGGGUUGUAAAGUACUUUCAGCAGUGAGGAAGGCGGAGUCGUUAAUAGCGGCCUCGUUUGACGUUAGCUGCAGAAGAAGCACCGGCUAACUCCGUGCCAGCAGCCGCGGUAAUACGGAGGGUGCGAGCGUUAAUCGGAAUUUACUGGGCGUAAAGCGCAUGCAGGUGGUUUGUUAAGUCAGAUGUGAAAGCCCGGGGCUCAACCUCGGAAUUGCAUUUGAAACUGGCAGACUAGAGUACUGUAGAGGGGGUAGAAUUUCAGGUGUAGCGGUGAAAUGCGUAGAGAUCUGAAGGAAUACCGGUGGCGAAGGCGGCCCCCUGGACAGAUACUGACACUCAGAUGCGAAAGCGUGGGGAGCAAACAGGAUUAGAUACCCUGGUAG